GCAUCGAUGAGAACGCAGCGAAAUGCGAUAAGUAAUGUGAAUUGCAGAAUUCAGUGAAUCAUCGAAUCUUUGAACGCACAUUGCGCCCAUUAGUAUUCUAGUAGGCAUGCCUGUUCGAGCGUCAUUUCAACCCCUAAGCACAGCUUAUUGUUGGGCGUCUACGUCUGUAGUGCCUCAAAGACAUUGGCGGAGCGGCAGCAGUCCUCUGAGCGUAGUAAUUCUUUAUCUCGCUUCUGUUAGGCGCUGCCCCCCCGGCCGUAAAACCCCCAAUUUUUUCUGGUUGACCUCGGAUCAGGUAGGAAUACCCGCUGAACUUAAGCAUAUCAAUAAGCGGAGGAA
rnacentral:rRNA from 1 species